UGGAUGCUCAAGUCUGGUGGAGCUCUCUUUUUCUAUUGGGAAUCUCAUCAAUCUAAAAGAAUUGGAUCUUAGCAGUUUAUCAUGUCUAGUGGAGCUCCCUUUCUCGAUUGGAAAUGCCACCAACCUAAGGAAAUUAAACCUUGACCAAUGCUCAAGUCUGGUGGAGCUCCCUUCCUCUAUUGGGAAUCUCAUCAAUCUAAAAGAAUUGGAUCUUAGCAGUUUAUCAUGUAUGGUGGAGCUCCCUUCCUCUAUUGGGAAUCUCAUCAAUCUAAAAGAAUUGGAUCUUAGCAGUUUAUCAUGUCUAGUGGAGCUCCCUUCCUCUAUUGGGAAUGCCACUCCUCUCGACUUAUUAGAUCUCGGUGGAUGCUCAAGUCUGGUGGAGCUCCCUUUUUCUAUUGGGAAUCUCAUCAAUCUAAAAGUAUUGAAUCUUAGCAGUUUAUCAUGUCUAGUGGAGCUCCCUUUCUCGAUUGGAAAUGCCACCAACCUUGAGGAUUUAAACCUUCGCCAAUGCUCAAAUCUGGUCCAGCUCCCCUUUCUCGACUUGGAACCUUCAGAAGUUGCAGACUUUGAACUUACGAGGAUGCUCUAAGCUAGAGGUUCUUCCGGCCAACAUCAAAUUGGGAUCUCUCAGGAAAUUAAACCUUCAACAUUGCUCAAAUCUGGUAAAGCUCCCCUUUUCUAUUGGAAACCUUCAGAAGUUGCAAACUUUGACCUUACGAGGAUGCUCUAAACUAGAAGAUCUUCCAGCCAACAUCAAAUUGGAAUCUCUUUGCUUACUUGAUCUCACUGAUUGCUUGCUGUUGAAAAGGUUUCCUGAGAUCUCCACAAACGUUGAAACUCUCUAUCUCAAAGGAACCACAAUAGAAGAAGUCCCUUCAUCAAUCAAAUCUUGGUCUCGUCUCACUUACUUGCAUAUGUCAUACAGUGAAAAUCUCAUGAACUUUCCUCAUGCUUUUGACAUCAUCACAAGGCUGUACGUGACCAAUACAGAGAUACAAGAGCUUCCCCCAUGGGUCAAGAAAUUCUCUCAUUUAAGAGAACUCAUUCUCAAGGGAUGCAAAAAGCUGGUAUCACUCCCACAGAUUCCAGAUUCCAUCACUUACAUAGAUGCAGAAGAUUGUGAGUCCCUGGAGAAACUAGAUUGCUCCUUUCACGAUCCAGAGAUUCGGGUCAACUCUGCUAAGUGCUUCAAACUGAAUCAAGAAGCCAGAGACCUCAUCAUCCAGACACCAACUAGUAAUUAUGCGAUCUUACCCGGCAGAGAAGUGCCUGCAUACUUCACUCACCAAUCUGCUACUGGAGGUUCCUUGACAAUCAAGCUGAACGAGAAGCCUCUUCCUACAUCCAUGCGGUUUAAGGCUUGCAUUUUGCUGGUUCGUAAAGGUGACGAUGAAAAUGGCUGCUAUGUUAGUUGUAAAAAAAGUAGGCAUUAUUUAUAUCCACCUUUAGAAGAGCAUAUGUACGUAUUUGAAGUCAAAGCAGAUGUGACUUCCAGCGAGCUUGUCUUUGAGUUCAAGAUCGACAGUACGAAUUGGAAGAUAAAAGAAUGUGGGGUAUUCCAACUCUCGGAGGUUCCUUGAUGAAUCUUCAAAAAGUGAUGUCUGAAACACCCUUGAUGAAACUGAAGUCUGUGGUGAAGUAAUGGAGACAUUUACUAAAAAGGUAAUCUAAUAUAAAUGUUGAUAGAUUUUGUACAAUGUUAAUCUCUUCUUUGAGGAUUGAAAUAUUACUUUACUUCAGUGGGCCACAUAAGAGGUGCUGUGUAUCUGCAACUUCUGUUUUUCUUUAUCUUCUUUAAUCCUCGAUCACUAUUAUUGAUCAUUUCAACUAUUUAACUCAUCUGUGAUAAAAUGAAAAACAAUUUGAAUUUUAACAGUGUACUGUAAUUUCAUCACAUGAACAAAUGUGGGAAAUCUUUCAGGACUUUUUGUUUGUUCGAUGAGUAUUACACAAAACUGACAUUCACAUCGAUUUUUUUUAUAUAGUCCGUAACAAACUAACAACUCUUUCAAGUAUUAAGAUUAAAAACUUUCAUCUAAUUACAGUUAGGUUUUUCGUCGGACGAUCAUCAUUCUUCGAUCCUAGAAGUUACGGUGAGCAGAGUAUCAUCAAGCCGCCCAUCAGGUGAUUAAACCUGAACUCUACUCUUAUUCAGAAUUACUAAGAAGAGCUUGAAAAAAGGAAUUUUCGCGUAAUACAUUAUACAUGUAUAUCUUUCUUUCUUCAGGCUGUCACCAACGUUAUGGAACGAUCAAAAACUAUAUGCUGCAGCCGUUAUGGAACGACCAAAAACCUUCUUUGCACCAAUGAUAACUCUAAGUCAACUGUUAUAUGAAAGUAUAGAUUUUUAAAGCUUUUAAUAAAGUGCUUUGAUUGCUUUUUGUUACUGACAUGAAGAUGUUGUUCUGUUUGGGAUGUAUAGAUAGUUCAAAUAAAGGAGUUGAAACUUCUCUCAGUCUAUGGUCUAAGAUCAUGGAACAGACAUGAACAGAUAGGUAAAAAACUCCAUCAACAGUUUUUUGGCUAAGUAUCCGAGCCUUGCCUCUGCAAACCCUCUUGUUUUUCUUCAGCUCUAGAUAUAUUCUCCUAAGCACUAAGCAGGUCUGAAACUAAUCUACUGUCAAUGAGUAUACUGAUGCUUGUCGACUCAACGGAGUAUACUAACCAAGUUUUUCAAUCUUCAGUAACUAUCCAUUUCACCUGACACAAAUCCGAGUGAUUAGUGGCCUUAGAAAACACUAAACCUUGAAAUGUAUGAGGCUUUUGUAACCAAAGUCAUGCAAUACGGGGAACCAACUCCAUAGUAUUAGAUGAUACCAACACUCUAAUACGAAAAACGAAGAGAGUCCAAAACCAAAAGAGUCAUUUUAAAACAGAGGGAGAGAGAGAGUGAUAAAAAAAAAAAAGAUUCAUUUUGGUGUGAGAGGAAUAGCUGUAUCGUCUCAAUUGUUUCUUCAAAAAUGGAUAAGUCUACCAAAUCCACCGUACCAUACUAAAUCGAUUGCAUUAAAACCAAAACGAAAAAAGCUUCAGUGAAACCAGAAGAUUAAUAUGCAUUUAUAAGAAAUUUGAGUGGUGUCAAAAAAAAAAAAAAAAAAAAAAAAAAGAAAUCUGAGUAAGUAAUUUACCAAAAAAAUAAAAGAUAUCUAAGCUAAAUGGGUGAACGACCUGUGUCCCCCCAGUAAGUUUCAUAUAGUACCAUAACAACACAGAUUUCGGGUCUCGUCUCCAGUCCACACAAAACGAAAGUUAAACUCCAGUUUCCCCCUAAAUUGAAAGUUCGAGACUUCAGUCUCCAUAGUUUCAAAUUUCGUGGUUUAUCUUCGGUUUACUGUGCCGAACCCGAUUAACCGCUUAACAUCGAAAUUAAACCGGAUUUACCCAGAAACCAAGCCGAUUAUUAGACCCAUUAAACCCGAUAAUCCCAAAAUCGUAAAAUCACCAAACUUCACAAACACACACACACAAAAUUCAAUUACAAAGUGAUCAAGAAAAGAUAUCAGUGAGCUCUACUAGUAAAUUAUACCUGAGGAUAACAAAUCUGAAUCCCUCCACGCAUUGAUUUAGGAGGUUUGAAUAUAGCCUAGCAAAUUUACAACCAAAUUUAAAAAUCAGAUUUUGGAUUUUCAGCUUCUUCACAAUGUAUUUGUAGUGUCUGCAUACCUCCAUGAAAUCACUUGUCCUCCAUGUAAACUAAUCUGGAAAACCAAAAAAUCAAAAACCCAAAUUGGUUUUAAAAAAAAGCUCGAAUUAUUCAGAGAAGAAGGUUGGAGAAAAUAGUGAAGACCUUGGCAGAAGCACCAUGUGGGUUUCUGAGAAGGACUUGGUCAACGCCAUUCCAAUCUUUGAUUAUCUCACUUGCUUCUUUUUGAUCCCACACUGUUGCGUAAUGACCCAUUUUCAAUUUCUUCUUCUUCUUCUUCUUCUUCUUUGAAUUUUCAGAAUCUCAAGAACUUAUUACACUGACAAAAAAAUUCUGAUUUUUGACAGCCAAAAAAAGAGCAAAAGAUAAGAAAAACGACAAAAGAGCUUUUUCUUUCUCACAAAAAUCUCAUGAACAUGGCGAUAGAAUUAUACUAUAAGAUCGAAAUUAGGGUUCUAAGAUUUCUCAAUUUGGGGAUAACUCGAAUCGGGUUCAAAAUCGGUUUAUUAUUCUGGGUUUUGGUUUGGCAUCGGGUUCGGCACAAUAAACCGAAGAUAAACCACGAAAUUUAAAAUUAUGGAGACUGAGGUCUCGAACUUUCAAUUUAGGGGGAAACUGGAGUUUAACUUUCGUUUUGUGUGGACUGGAGACGAGACCCGAAAUCUGUGUUGUUAUGGUACUAUAUGAAACUUACUGGGGGGACACAGGUUGUUCACCGAAGCUAAAUAAGCACAUUAUCGAGAUUCGAGAUGAAGAAAAAAAUCUAUUAUAUGACCAAAAAAAAAAUUGUUUAGAAAAAACUACUAUAAAAGGAGCAAAUAAUUUAUUUUUACCUUUCUCACUUUUAGCCUUUAUCUUGUAAUUGAAAGUUAACUUUGCAAAUAUAUGAAAGAUCUAGAAGAGUUGAUAAUUUUUUAAAAUAUAUUUUUGUGUAAUUUUCUUUUUUCAUAAUUUUUUAAUUAUAAAAAUCAACUUUAAGGAAUGAAAGAUGAUUUAAUCAUAAAUGAAAAAUCUAAAAAUGUAUUACGUAGAUUUGAAAAGAGAUGAUGAUGCAACAAAGGUAUUAAUAUAAAAGGUUUUGUACAAAAACACCCUCAAAAUCAUCAAUUUUUGUAACUUUACCCUCUACCUCCGAAGAAUGCAGAAUAAUCAUAUGAAGUCAAAAAUAAUACGCAAUAUAGCCCUUAUAAAUAUACUAUAAAAGUUUUCACGAUCACAUAAAUUUGGUUUUUCAAAUUUUAAGGGUAGAGUUGAAAUCCUCGUUUUGAGGGCUUCAAUUUGAUCUAUUAUUUAUCAAAAUUUAAAAAACUAGAGAACAGCGAAAAGGGGUUAUAUUGUGUAUUAUUUUUUGCUUCAUAUGAUUAUUCUACAUUUUUUAGAGGUUGAAGGUAAAAUUGCAAAAAUUGGCGACUUUGAAGGGUUUUGCACGAAACCCUAAUAUAAAUGACUUGUUGUAUUUCAUGAUAAUUAAUCAAAUGAAUUAAAAUAUCCCCUAAUAAUAUUGAUAUAUCAUGGUUUUUACGGUUAUUUAACCAUGAUAUAGGUAUUAUUAUUAGAGUAUUUUUGUUAUUUCUAGAGUCUUUUCUAGUGUUUUUCAGGUUUAUGCAUGCACAGGACCAAUUUGGAGAUUAUGGAUAAUUCUAGAGCAAAAACGAGAUGUUAUGAUGAUACAAGAGCAGUCCGGAGACCAAUCUUGGUGUAUGUGUCGAUCGACACCAAUAUCUAACGGCAAUUCGAUCUCGUAUGUUUUUGAAGUUUUGAAUAUUUGCAGAAUCAUCCCAAAAUUUUUCUCUAUUUUCAAAGAAGUCUCUACACGUUUUAAGACAAUAUAAAUAUGGGAAAGUUACCAGAUUAACCCAAAUUAUGAGUUUAAUUACUAGAAUGUCUCAAAAAAUUUGGGGGUUAAAUGAGUUAUUUUCAUGACCAUAAUACCUUUUCUCUCUUUGUUAGGAAUAAAAAAAGUCAAAAUUACCCUUAAAUAUAUUUUAAAAACGUGGAGAAAAAAUAUUUGAAAAAUCUGCUGGGUUAGUUGUGACAAGUUUAUUUUCCAUGACAGAUUUAUUUUUCUAUGACAGAUUUUUUGCAUCAGAUUUUUUUUUCUCCUAUAGACUUACUUAAAAUAGGUUACGACAAAUAUUUAAUUUGUAGCAGAUUUUUUUGUCACGCCAGACUUAUUUUAUGAUGACACCACAGACUUUUGUAAUUUUGACAGAUUUAUUAAAAUGUGUGGCAAUAUUAUUGUUUUAGUGGCGUCAGACUUAUAUUUUUCGGUAAAAAUCUGUCAUAAUGUAGCUAAUAAAAAAAUAAUUACUAGUUUGACUUAUUAGUGAUAACAGAUUUAUUUUAUGUUAUGACAAUUUUUUUUCCUAACAAAAAAUCUGGAGUGUGAUAGCAGAUUUGUUAUAUAAAAAUAUAAAUUGCUAGAAUGACAUAUACUCACAACCGAAAUGUUUUAUGUUAUGACAAAUUUUUUUUAUAUUACAACAGAAUUCAGAUAGGCUAUAAAAAAAUAUGUCGUAUGAUGGCAGUUUUAUUGAUGAAAAUAGAAUUUUAAUCUGCACAAUAAGGUAAUAAGAGACAUAUUCUUAUCUCGACAGACUUAUUUAUAAUAGAUGGCUCAUGUGUGGCUGUCUCCUUGUUAAUAUAUGAUAAAGAUUAUUUUUUUCUUUUGUUAUAUAUUUUGUUCUUUUUAAUAUAUAUAUAUAUAUAAUAUAUAUAUAUUUGUUUUUUUCGUUUUAUAUUUUUUUUUCGUUUUUUUUUAUUUAUUUUUUUUUUUUUUCAUUUUAUAUUUUUUUGUCAUUUUGUAUUUUUUUCUAAUUUUCUAUUUAAUUUAGUUAUUAUAUGUUAAUUAUUUUAUUUUAAUUGAAUUGAAAAUAAAAUAGGUAUUUGUCUUUUUUUUCGUUUUUUAUUUUUUAAUGUUUUUUCAAUUUAUAUAUAUUUUGUUUGUUUUGUAUUUUUUUUUGUUUUUUUCUCAAUUUUCUUUUUUUCGUUAUAUAAUUUUUGUUUUUGUAUUUUUUAAUUUUCUAUUUAAUUUAAUUAUUAUAUGUUAAUUAUAUUAUUUAAAUAGAAUUGAAAAUAAAAUGGUAUUUGGUCUUUUAACACAAAAAUUGUGUUAUUCUAGUAAACCACAAUAUUUGGGUGUUAAUCUAGUUAUUUUUCUCUAGAUUUGGGUCAAACUAGGUAAUUUUCAGUAUAAAUAUAUUCUUAAGGUUAUUGUUUAGACCUAAGCUUUAUUUUUAUUUUGUUCUUGGACGUAAACCCUGUGGAGCUCCCUCCAGAAAAGAUGCUUCAACACUCUAUUCUCUUCUUGUUUUCUUACAAGAUUCCUACUUUAAAACAUGUUUUGUUCUUCGAUAAUCAUGUCUGAGUAGUCCUUGUUUGGUUUAGGGAUUCUCAAUAGGGAUUUGGAUGAAUUAGUAGAUCGAUAACCUGUUAGUAAAAUAAAUCUCUAGAGUUCUUCAUCUUUGAUUGUUCUUAAUGCUAGUUCUAGAGUAAUUAACUAUAACUUGAUCUUAGGAUAAUAGGUUAGACACGAGAGUGCGCUUAUUACUAGAACUAUCUUAGGUGGGCAGAAGUAGUUAGAUACAGACGAGAGUUGGUCUAGAUACUUUUGUGAACAUAUCGAACCUGAUCUUAAUGCUUUCUUAGUUUUAGGGAUUUAAUUUACAGACGAGAGUUGGAAUUUCUGCUAUUAAGCAUAGAUAGUCAAUUCAGACGAGAGUUGGUUGAUUAUAGUUUUUUUAUUUGAGUUCUAAGAACGGUUCUUUAAUAAUUCCAAUAAUUCCUAACUAAUUGCUAGAUCUACUAUUCUAAUAUUUCCUGAGAAAUCCCUUAGCCUAACGUUUCAUCUAUCUGUUUUACAACUUAUUUUUAAAGGUUUUUUUUUGUAUUUUAAUUUACUUAAUUUUCUGUUUAGCUUAAUUCAAAACAUGUUAGUCUAUUGUGUGAACAACGAGAGCUUUGUGGAAUUCGACCCUAAAAUGCUAUACAUGAUCUCUUUAUUUGACAGAGUAGUCUUAGGUUAAUUUGACUCAUAUCAAAUAUAAAUCUACAAUAUUUAAAAACGCAACUCAUCCAAAAAUAUGAUGAUUACAACAAAAUAUAAAUCAGAACUACUACCAAAAAAAUAUAUAUAUAAAUCAGAACUUUGUAUUUUUUUUUCCGAAUAACUAUUUAUACUACUUCCUAACCACUCGGUAUUUGGUCUACCUGAUACAAAUGUUUUCCUUGUUUAUGCGAAUAGCUUUCAACAUUACUUGAAAUGCCCUGACCAUCACACCUCUCUUAAUGGGUCCACGUCCUCUCUCGGCCGGUCCGCUACGUCCAGGAGGCUUUAAAGACUUGUUUACCGUUCCUACAAAUUACCACAUGAUCUUUUCUUGUGUUUUGUCCUCACUCACACAGUUCUGACAAUCACUUCCGAGAAGGUCACCCAUCCUGAAAUUGCACGCUUAACUGUGGAGUUCUCUCAGGGCAGUUGACCGAAAAGAUAAGUGCACUUUGGUGACAUAGGUGGUCAAAUCAACUCUUUUAACACCACAUUCUUGAAACCAGGGUGUUACAUUACUUGAAAGGAAUCAUGGCCACAUUGAUAUAGUAAUUUCGAUUGGAAAAGUUACCCAUUAACUUGUUAAUCGGUUAGUGGGGAUGUCGUACAUGCAAAACGGUUCAUUAGAGAUUCGAAUGUUGCACGGAGAACUGAAAUGUGGAAUCAUUGUUUGUGGGAGCUGUUCAUCAUAAUUGUAUAUGUUGUAGGUAAUUGAUUAUCAUCGUAAUAGGAUAAGCUCAAAUAUCUAUAAUGAUAAUGUAAUAGAUGGUUAAAAAAAAAUUUGGUAUUUGUUAUGAGAAAAAGAAAAAGAUAUAUUAAAAAUCUUGUAAAUAAAAGGAGACUUUUCUUAUGAGAAACCUCAAUGAUACAGAUUUGAAUUUUCUUUGAAAUUUGAUGAAAAUUUCAUAAGAUAAAAAUGAGCUCUGUUUUUACUAGUAAUUUCUCAAACAAAUAUGUUGUAAUGUUAUAUUGCUCGAACUCAAGAAAAUUUGGUUUAUAGCAUACUUUUUCAUCUUUUUAAAAGUAAUAUAAAAAAUUAGGUAACUCGUAAGAUUUCGCCUCUGAUAUUAGCUGUAUCGUAAUCAUCAAAUAAACGUAACCGUAUUUAACCGUAACCGUUGUAACUGUAACCAUAUUUAACCGUAUAUAUAAUGGUUAAAGUUACGGUUAAAAAAGUUUAUAAUCGUAACCGGUGAUUAAUUAACCGUAAUCGUAAUAACCGUAACCGUGGUCAUACCUAGAAAAUUGUAGAGAGAUAAUUUUAAUUUGAUACACCCUCACUUUUUCAAAGAAUGAUAUUUUGAGUUUUACACACAAUUUAAGAAAAAGUAAUUUAAAAUUUUUUUAAUUAUUAUUUUGUUAGUUUAAUAAUAUUAGUACUUCUCACCUUUAUCUAUUAGUCGCAAACAAAAACAAUGAUGAUGUUUUUACAAAACAUCAAUCUUGGCUGAACAAGUAAAAAACUCAAAACAUCAAAUAACUAGGAACAGAGGGAGUAUAGUUUUUAUUAUUUUAAACUGUUUUUGUUUUUGUCUAAAAAAAAACUUGUUUUUGUUAUUAUGUACCGCUUUUGAUAAAUUUAUCUUGAUUGGUAACAACAGCUUUGUACAGCUUUAAAUUUUGUGACCAAUCAUAGCCAUUAUAAAUGUUGGAGAUUUGGCAUCUCUAUAUCAAAACUCGAUGUAAGUAUUUUCACAUCUUUUCUAUAAAUUUUAGAUUUUUGAUAGAGACAUUGAUUUUAGUCACUGCUUCCUUGUGUUUCCCAUUUCUGAUUUGCAUCAUAGAUUCGGAUUUCAGUUGCUAAUUUGCUUCUUUUAGAUUCAGAAUUUCAACAUUUCAUGACUUGUUCAAAAAAUCAUGUCUUUGGAUAUAAAUGCUGGAGAAGUUAGUUACCAUGUUUGUAUUGAAACUUGAUACUGCUCUUUUUCUUUUUUCUUUGGACGAAGCUUCCUUUGUCUAUUGUAGGACCAAUUAUUGACGUCUGCGAGGAAAUAGCUAGGAAUUGGGUACAUGAAAGAAAACAAGAAGCUAAAACCUCUAUUUUUGAUAGUAUAGUUUCUUUGUUAAUAUAUAUUCAUGACUUAUAUUUAGGAAAUAAAACUAUAAAUGUUGUAGAAUUGGCAUGUAUAUAUGUAUUAAAACUCGAUGCUUAUUGCUUGCUUUAUACGUUUGAUUUUUUCUAGUUAUCUGUUUUCAUAUUUUAGAUUUUCUUCAACUUUAUCUGUUAUUGCAUUCUAUACCAAAGCUAAUCCUCUUGUUUGCUAGUACAGUUUCAAAAUAUUCUCACUUUCUCGGUCAAUGGAGUCAACCUUCUUUGUUUAGUAUAAGUCUGUUUUGCAACUUCUUCAUCCGCAUAGCUCUCUUUAAAGCUCUCUGAUAUUAUUAAUCCUCUCUCCAAUAAUAUAUACUAACUAAUGGAUUCUUCUUCUUCUUUUAUCCUUACCACUGUUGCUGCUGCAAUAGGCUUCUUCACGCUUCUUAGAAAUCUCAGAUGCCAUCAAGAAGAUGACAAAGAAAAUAAUUCUUCUUCUUCUACUUCAUCACCUCCGUCUUCUUCAUCGUCUUUGUCUCCUCCAUCGUCUUUGGAUCGCAUCUGGACACACCAUGUGUUUCCAAGUUUUCGAGGGGAAUAUGUCCGUAGAGACUUUCUUAGUCACAUUCAGAUGGAGUUUCAAAGAAUGGGAAUCACACCAUUCAUUGAUAAUGAGAUCGAGAGAGGACAAUCCAUCGGUCCCGAACUCAUUCGAGCAAUUAGAGAAUCCAAGAUCGCAAUUAUCUUGCUCUCAAGAAACUACGCUUCUUCGAGCUGGUGUCUUGACGAAUUGGCGGAGAUUAUGAAGUGCAGGGACGAAUUGGGUCAAACAGUUUUGGCUGUUUUCUAUAAAGUGGAUCCAUCUGAUGUAAAGAAGCUGACCGGAGAUUUUGGAAAAGUCUUCAAAAAAACAUGUGCCGGUAAAACAAAAGAGCACGUUGGGAGAUGGAGACAAGCUUUGGCAAAUGUCGCCACAAUCGCCGGUUACCAUUCGACCAACUGGUUCGUUGUCUUCCUAACAAACAUCUAACUGUAUAUAUUAAUAGCUUCUUCAAAUCACAGAAACUCAUAGUUUUUUUAAAUGUGUGUGACUUCUCCAUAAUUGUUUAAUGGAUGUAGUGAUCUUCUUUGUUGUUAGGGAUAAUGAAGCGGCCAUGAUUAAAAAAAUCGCUACUGAUAUUUCGAACUUGUUGAAUAAUUCUUCAUCAUCAAGUGAUUUCGAUGGGUUGGUUGGAAUGAGAGAACAUUUAGAGAAGAUGGAACCGUUAUUAUGUUUAGACUCAGAUGAAGUGAGGAUGAUUGGGAUUUGGGGUCCUUCUGGGAUUGGGAAGACGACCAUCGCCAGAGUUAUAUACAACAAACUCUCCGGCAGUUUUCAACUGAGUGUCUUUAUGGAAUCUAUCGAAGCAAAAUAUACAAGACCAUGUUCCGAUGACUAUAGUGCCAAGUUGCAGUUACAACAGCAGUUUAUGUCUCAAAUAACCAACCAGAGUGAUAUGAAGAUUUCUCAUUUAGGUGUUGUUCAAGAUAGGCUAAAAGACAAGAAAGUUCUUGUUGUUCUUGAUGGUGUGGACAAGUCAAUGCAACUAGAUGCCAUGGUGAAAGAAACUUGGUGGUUUGGUCCUGGGAGUCGGAUUAUUAUUACAACGCAAGAUCGAAAGCUUUUCAGGUCACAUGGGAUUAACCAUAUUUACAAGAUUGAUUUUCCAUCAACUGAAGAGGCCCUUCAAAUCUUGUGCACAUAUGCUUUUGGUCAAAACUCCCCUAAUGUCGUUUUGAAGAACUUGCUCAGGAAGUUACACAACUUGCUGGUGAACUUCCUUUGGGUCUUAGGGUUAUAGGUUCUUAUUUUCGGGGAAUGUCUAAGAUGGAGUGGAUGAAAGCACUACCAAGGUUAAGGAAUAGCCUUGAUGCUAAUAUUCUUAGCAUUUUGAAGUUCAGCUAUGAUGCCUUAGAUGAUGAAGACAAAUAUUUGUUUCUUCAUAUAGCAUGCUUCUUCAAUCAUGAAGAGAUUGAGAAAGUGGAAGAUUAUCUCGCAGAGACGUUCUUGGAUGUGAGUCAUCGGCUUAAUGUCUUAGCUGAGAAAUCUCUCAUAUCUUUGAAUAGGGGAUAUAUAAACAUGCAUGAUUUGCUAGUCAAACUAGGUAGAGAUAUUGUCCGUAAACAGUCUAUUCGUGAGCCUGGACAACGCCUAUUUUUGGUUGAUGCACGAGAAAUUUGUGAAGUACUCAAUCUUGAUGCGAACGUAAGUUUUGAAAUUUCUCUCCACAAAUCGUGUUGAUUUAAUAAGUGACCAUUUCAUAUGAUUUAUGUUCUGUUUUUCAGGGUAGUAGAAGUCUUAUGGGCAUAAAUUUCAACUUUGGUGAGGAUAGGAUCAAGGAAAAGUUACAUAUAAGUGAGAGAGCCUUUCAAGGAAUGUCUAAUCUCCAAUUCUUAAGAGUCAAAGGGAAUAACAAUACAAUACAUCUACCGCACGGUUUAGAGUAUAUAUCUCGUAAACUUCGAUUACUACACUGGACUUAUUUUCCGAUGACAUGUUUGCCUCCUAUUUUCAACACGGAGUUUCUGGUUGAACUAGACAUGUCUUACAGCAAACUUGAGAAGUUGUGGGAAGGAAUUAAAGUAAGUAAUUUUGAUUUAUUUCUUUUAGAUAUUUUAUUAAUUUCAAAUUAAUAAUUUAUCUUUUGUACAAUUUUAUUUUAAUUAAUUACCAAUAGCAUGGAAGUCUGUUUUCUAAUUAAGUGUAUAUACAUGUUCUUAUUAUUUGUAUGUAUAGCCGCUUCCAAAUCUCAAGCGGAUGGAUUUGAGUUCGUCUCUCCUCUUAAAGGAGCUUCCUGAUCUCUAUUGGAAAUCUCAUCAAUCUAAAAGAAUUGGAUCUUAGCAGUUUAUCAUGUCUAGUGGAGCUCCCUUCCUCUAUUGGAAAUCUCAUCAAUCUAAAAGAAUUGGAUCUUAGCAGUUUAUCAUGUCUAGUGGAGCUCCCUUCCUCUAUUGGGAAUCUCAUCAAUCUAAAAGAAUUGGAUCUUAGCAGUUUAUCAUGUCUAGUGGAGCUCCCUUUCUCGAUUGGAAAUGCCACCAACCUUGAGGUUUUAAACCUUCGCCAAUGCUCAAGUCUGGUAAAGCUCCCCUUUUCUAUUGGAAACCUUCAGAAGUUGCAAACUUUGACCUUACGAGGAUGCUCUAAGCUAGAAGAUCUUCCAGCCAACAUCAAAUUGGGAUCUCUCGGCGAACUUGAUCUCACUGAUUGCUUGCUGUUGA
rnacentral:lncRNA from 1 species